rnacentral:rRNA from 1 species
AUUGAACGCUGGCGGCAGGCCUAACACAUGCAAGUCGAACGAGUGGCGGACGGGUGAGUAAUGUCUGGGAAACUGCCUGAUGGAGGGGGCUAACUACUGGAAACGGUAGCUAAUACCGCAUACCAUCGGAUGUGCCCAGAUGGGCUUAGCUAUUAGGUGGGGUAACGGCGCACCUAGGCGACGAUCCCUAGCUGGUCUGAGAGGAUGACCAGCAACACUGGAACUGAGAAACGGUCCAGACUACUACGGGAGGAAGCAGUUGGGAAUAGUGCACAAUGGGAGCAAGCCUGAUGAAGCCAUGCCGGGUGUAUGAAGAAGGCCUUCGGGUUGUAAAGUACUUUCAGCGGGGAGGCGUUACCCGCAGAAGAAGCACCGGCUAACUCCGUGCCAGCAGCCGCGGUAAUAC